rnacentral:rRNA from 1 species
GAUGAACGCUAGCUACAGGCUUAACACAUGCAAGUCGAGGGGUAACGAGAGGAAAGCUUGCUUUCCUUGUCGACGACCGGCGCACGGGUGAGUAACGCGUAUCCAACCUGCCCCCAACUAGGGAAUAACCUUGCGAAAGUAAGACUAAUACCCUAUAAUUUCCUCAGAUGACAUCUGACGAGGAAUAAAGAUUUAUCGGCUGUGGCUGGGGAUGCGUCUGAUUAGCUUGUUGGCGGGGUAACGGCCCAACAAGGCAACGAUCAGUAGGGGUUCUGAGAGGAAGGUCCCCCACAUUGGAACUGAGACACGGUCCAAACUCCUACGGGAGGCAGCAGUGAGGAAUAUUGGUCAAUGGGCGGAAGCCUGAACCAGCCAAGUAGCGUGCAGGAUGACGGCCCUAUGGGUUGUAAACUGCUUUUAUACAGGAAUAAAGUUAGCCACGUGUGGUUAUUUGUAGGUACUGUAUGAAUAAGGACCGGCUAAUUCCGUGCCAGCCGCCGCCGUAA